GAUGAAGAACGUAGCGAAAUGCGAUACGUAAUGUGAAUUGCAGAAUUCAGUGAAUCAUCGAGUCUUUGAACGCACAUUGCGCCCCCUGGUAUUCCGGGGGGCAUGCCUGUCCGAGCGUCAUUGCUGCCCUCAAGCACGGCUUGUGUGUUGGGCCCCCGCCCCCCGGUUCCCGGGGGGCGGGCCCGAAAGGCAGCGGCGGCACCGCGUCCGGUCCUCGAGCGUAUGGGGCUUCGUCACCCGCUCCGUAGGCCCGGCCGGCGCCCGCCGGCGACCCCCCUUCAAUCUUUCCAGGUUGACCUCGGAUCAGGUAGGGAUACCCGCUGAACUUAAGCAUAUCAAUAAGCGGAGGA
rnacentral:misc_RNA from 1 species